rnacentral:rRNA from 1 species
GACGAACGCUGGCGGCGUGCUUAACACAUGCAAGUCGAACGGAAAGGCCCUGCUUUUGUGCGGUGCUCGAGUGGCGAACGGGUGCGUAACACGUGAGUAACCUGCCCUUGACUUUGGGGUAACUUCAGGAAACUGGGGCUAAUACCGGAUAGGAGAUCCUGCUGCAUGGUGGGGGUUGGAACGUUUCGGCGGGUGGGGAUGGACUCGCGGCUUAUGAGCUUGUUGGUGGGGGAGUGGCUUACCCAGGCUUUGAAGGAUAGCCGGCCUGUGAGGGGGACCGGGCACAAGGGGACUGAGAGACGGCGCAGUCGCCAAUGGGAGGCAGCAGGGGGGAAUAUUGUACAAUGGGCGGAAGUCGGAGGCAGCGACGCUGCGGGCGGAAUGACGGCCUGUGGGGUGUAAACCGCUUUCGCCUGUGACGAAGCGUGAGUGACGGUAAUGGGUAAAGAAGCACCGGCUAACUACGUG